UCGGCGCUGAAAAGGGAAUGAGAAGAGCAGGAGGUUCCUCCGUCGGAUUGGCGUUGGCAGCUGGAUUAUCCAAAUGCCUCGAGAAAUUAACUUCUGCACAAUAUUCCUCAUGCAAUCAAAAGCUGCCAGCACUGAAAGUCUUCCCCCCAAAAGGGGAUUUUCC